GAGAGAACUCUCGUUAAGGAACUCGGCAAAAUGACCCCGUAACUUCGGGAGAAGGGGUGCUUUUUAGGGUGAAUAGCCUUGAAAAGCCGCAGUGAAUAGGCCCAGGCGACUGUUUAGCAAAAACACAGGUCUCUGCGAAACCGCAAGGUGAAGUAUAGGGGCUGACACCUGCCCGGUGCUGGAAGGUUAAGAGGAGAGGUUAGCGCAAGCGAAGCUUUGAAUUGAAGCCCCAGUAAACGGCGGCCGUAACAAUAACGGUCCUAAGGUAGCGAAAUUCCUUGUCGGGUAAGUUCCGACCCGCACGAAAGGUGUAACGAUCUGGGCACUGUCUCAACGAGAGACUCGGUGAAAUUAUAGUACCUGUGAAGAUGCAGGUUACCCGCGACAGGACGGAAAGACCCCGUGGAGCUUUACUGUAGCCUGAUAUUGAAUUUUGGUACAGCUUGUACAGGAUAGGUAGGAGCCUGAGAAGCCGGAGCGCCAGCUUCGGUGGAGGCGUUGGUGGGAUACUACCCUGGCUGUAUUGACAUCCUAACCCGCGCCCCUUAUCGGGGUGGGAGACAGUGUCAGGUGGACAGUUCGACUGGGGCGGUCGCCUCCUAAAGAGUAACGGAGGCGCCCAAAGGUUCCCUCAGAAUGGUUGGAAAUCAUUCGUAGAGUGUAAAGGCACAAGGGAGCUUGACUGCGAGACCUACAAGUCGAGCAGGGACGAAAGUCGGGCUUAGUGAUCCGGUGGUUCCGCAUGGAAGGGCCAUCGCUCAACGGAUAAAAGCUACCCCGGGGAUAACAGGCUUAUCUCCCCCAAGAGUCCACAUCGACGGGGAGGUUUGGCACCUCGAUGUCGGCUCAUCGCAUCCUGGGGCUGUAGUCGGUCCCAAGGGUUGGGCUGUUCGCCCAUUAAAGCGGUACGCGAGCUGGGUUCAGAACGUCGUGAGACAGUUCGGUCCCUAUCCGUCGUGGGCGCAGGAAAUUUGAGAGGAGCUGUCCUUAGUACGAGAGGACCGGGAUGGACGCACCUCUGGUGUACCAGUUGUUCUGCCAAGAGCAUCGCUGGGUAGCUAUGUGCGGACGGGAUAAGUGCUGAAAGCAUCUAAGCAUGAAGCCCCCCUCAAGAUGAGAUUUCCCAUAGCGCAAGCUAGUAAGAUCCCUGAAAGAUGAUCAGGUUGAUAGGUCAGAGGUGGAAGCGUGGUGACAUGCGGAGCUGACUGAUACUAAUAGAUCGAGGACUUAACCGA
rnacentral:rRNA from 1 species